AACGUAGGAGGCGAGCGUUAUCCGGAUUUACUGGGCGUAAAGCGCGUGCAGGCGGUUUUCUAAGUCGGACGUGAAAGCUCCCGGCUCAACUGGGAGAGGUCGUUCGAAACUAGGAGGCUUGAGGAUGGUAGAGGAGAGUGGAAUUCCCGGUGUAGUGGUGAAAUGCGUAGAUAUCGGGAGGAACACCAGUGGCGAAGGCGGCUCUCUGGGCCAUUCCUGACGCUAAGACGCGAAAGCUAGGGGAGAGAACGGGAUUAGAUACCCUAGUA
rnacentral:rRNA from 1 species